GACGAACGCUGGCGGCGUGCUUAACACAUGCAAGUCGAACGGAAAGGCCCUGCUUUUGUGGGGUGCUCGAGUGGCGAACGGGUGAGUAACACGUGAGUAACCUGCCCUUGACUUUGGGAUAACUUCAGGAAACUGGGGCUAAUACCGGAUAGGAGCUCCUGCUGCAUGGUGGGGGUUGGAAAGUUUCGGCGGUUGGGGAUGGACUCGCGGCUUAUCAGCUUGUUGGUGGGGUAGUGGCUUACCAAGGCGUUGACGGGUAGCCGGCCUGAGAGGGUGACCGGCCACAUUGGGACUGAGAUACGGCCCAGACUCCUACGGGGGGCAGCAGUGGGGAAUAUUGCACAAUGGGCGGAAGCCUGAUGCAGCAACGCCGCGUGCGGGAUGACGGCCUUCGGGUUGUAAACCGCUUUCGCCUGUGACGAAGCGUGAGUGACGGUAAUGGGUAAAGAAGCACCGGCUAACUACGUG
rnacentral:rRNA from 1 species